rnacentral:rRNA from 1 species
AUUCCUACGGGGGGCAGCAGUGAGGAAUAUUGGUCAAUGGGCGGAAGCCUGAACCAGCCAAGUCGCGUGAGGGAAGAAGGCCCUGCGGGUCGCAGACCUCUUUGGACGGGGAGCAAGGCCGCCGACGUGUCGGCGGAAGGAGAGUACCCGUAGAACAAGCAUCGGCUAACUCCGUGCCAGUAGCCGCGGUAAUACGGAGGAUGCGAGCGUUAUCCGGAUUUACUGGGUGUAAAGGGAGCGUAGACGGCUGUGCAAGUCUGAAGUGAAAGCCCGUGGCUCAACCGCGGAACUGCUUUGGAAACUGU